GAGUAACACGUAGGUGAUCUGCCCUUGAGUUGGGGAUAGCCCAUGGAAACAUGGGGUAAUACCGAAUACGCUCGCGACCCUGUGGGGAUGUGAGGAAAAGCGCUUCGGCGCUGCUCGAGGAUGAGCCUGCGGCUGACUAGUUAGUUGGUGGGGUAACGGCCUACCAAGGCGACGAUCAGUAGCCGGCCUGAGAGGGUGAGCGGCCACACUGGGACUGAGAUACGGCCCAGACUCCUACGGGAGGCAGCAGCUAAGAAUCUUCUACAAUGGACGAAAGUCUGAUAGAGCGACGCCGCGUGGGUGAUGAAGGCCGGAAGGUUGUAAAGCCCUUUUCUAUUCGAGGAAUAAGGUGUGGAGGCAAUGCCACACUGAUGACGGUAGGGUAGGAAUAAGCCCCGGCCAAUUACGUGCCAGCAGCCGCGGUAACACGUAUGGGGCGAGCGUUGUUCGGAAUCAUUGGGCGUAAAGGGCGCGUAGGCGGAUAUGCAAGCUUGGUGUGAAAGACCGCAGCUCAACUGCGGGAGCGCGCUGAGAACUGCAUAUCUUGAGUUCAAGAGGGGAAGCUGGAAUUCCAGGUGUAGGGGUGAAAUCUGUAGAUAUCUGGAAGAACAUCAGUGGCGAAGGCGAGCUUCUGGCUUUGAACUGACGCUGAGGCGCGAAAGCGUGGGGAGCGAACAGGAUUAGAUACCCUGGUAGUCCACGCUGUAAACGAUGUGCACUAGGUGUUGGGCCGUUGAAGGCUCAGUGCGGUAGAUAACGCGUUAAGUGCACGGCCUGGGGAGUAUGCUCGCAAGAGUGAAACUCAAAGGAAUUGACGGGGGCCCGCACAAGCGGUGGAGCAUGUGGUUUAAUUAGAUGAUACGCGAGGAACCUUACCAGGGCUUGACAUAUACAGGAAUGCGCAUGAGAGUGGGCAGCCCUUCGGGGUCUGUAUACAGGUGCUGCAUGGCUGUCGUCAGCUCGUGCCAUGAGGUGUUGGGUUAAGUUCCGCAACGAGCGCAACCCCUGUUGUCUGUGGCCAGCAUUUCGGAUGGGGACUCAGACAAGACUGCCGGUGACAAACCGGAGGAAGGUGGG
rnacentral:rRNA from 1 species